rnacentral:rRNA from 1 species
UACGUAGGGUGCAAGCGUUGUCCGGAAUUAUUGGGCGUAAAGAGCUCGUAGGCGGUUUGUCGCGUCGACUGUGAAAACCCGAGGCUUAACCUCGGGCCUGCAGCCGAUACGGGCAGACUAGAGUUCGGCAGGGGAGACUGGAAUUCCUGGUGUAGCGGUGAAAUGCGCAGAUAUCGGGAGGAACACCAAUGGCGAAGGCAGCUCGCUGGGACGGUACUGACGCUGAGACGCGAAAGCGUGGGGAGCAAACAGG